rnacentral:rRNA from 2 species
AAUGACUCUCGGCAACGGAUAUCUCGGCUCUCGCAUCGAUGAAGAACGCAGCGAAAUGCGAUACUUGGUGUGAAUUGCAGAAUCCCGUGAACCAUCGAGUCUUUGAACGCAAGUUGCGCCCGAAGCCAUUAGGCCGAGGGCACGUCUGGCUGGGUGUCACACAACG